GACGAACGCUGGCGGCGUGCCUAAUACAUGCAAGCCGAGCGAACAGAAAAGGAGCUUGCUCCUUUGACGUUAGCGGCGGACGGGUGAGUAACACGUGGGCAACCUACCCUAUAGUUUGGGAUAACUCCGGGAAACCGGGGCUAAUACCGAAUAAUCUCUUUUGCUUCAUGGCAAGAGACUGAAAGACGGUUUCGGCUGUCGCUAUAGGAUGGGCCCGCGGCGCAUUAGCUAGUUGGUGAGGUAACGGCUCACCAAGGCGACGAUGCGUAGCCGACCUGGGAGGGUGAUCGGCCACACUGGGACUGAGACACGGCCCAGACUCCUACGGGAGGCAGCAGUAGGGAAUCUUCCACAAUGGGCGAAAGCCUGAUGGAGCAACGCCGCGUGAGUGAAGAAGGUUUUCGGAUCGUAAAACUCUGUUGUAAGGGAAGAACAAGUACAGUAGUAACUGGCUGUACCUUGACGGUACCUUAUUAGAAAGCCACGGCUAACUACGUGCCAGCCGCCGCCGUAAGAC
rnacentral:rRNA from 1 species